GACGAGGUGGCCGAGUGGUUAAGGCGAUGGACUGCUAAUCCAUUCGGCUCUGCCCGCGUGGGUUCGAAUCCCAUCCUCGUCG
rnacentral:tRNA from 1 species